AGCGGCGGACGGGUGAGUAACGCGUGGGUAACCUGCCUCAUACACAUGGAUAACAUACCGAAAGGUAUGCUAAUACAAGAUGAUAUAAGAGAUUCGCAUGGAUUUCUUAUCAAAGCUCCGGCGGUAUGAGAUGGACCCGCGUCUGAUUAGCUAGUUGGUAAGGUAACGGCUUACCAAGGCGACGAUCAGUAGCCGACCUGAGAGGGUGAUCGGCCACAUUGGAACUGAGACACGGUCCAAACUCCUACGGGAGGCAGCAGUGGGGAAUAUUGCACAAUGGGCGAAAGCCUGAUGCAGCAACGCCGCGUGAGCGAUGAAGGCCUUCGGGUCGUAAAGCUCUGUCCUCAAGGAAGAUAAUGACGGUACUUGAGGAGGAAGCCCCGGCUAACUACGUGCCAGCAGCCGCGGUAAUACGUAGGGGGCUAGCGUUAUCCGGAUUUACUGGGCGUAAAGGGUGCGUAGGUGGUUUCUUAAGUCAGGAGUGAAAGGCUACGGCUCAACCGUAGUAAGCUCUUGAAACUGGGAAACUUGAGUGCAGGAGAGGAAAGUGGAAUUCCUAGUGUAGCGGUGAAAUGCGUAGAUAUUAGGAGGAACACCAGUAGCGAAGGCGGCUUUCUGGACUGUAACUGACACUGAGGCACGAAAGCGUGGGGAGCAAACAGGAUUAGAUACCCUGGUAGUCCACGCCGUAAACGAUGAGUACUAGGUGU
rnacentral:rRNA from 1 species